GAUGUUCUCUCGAACAGACCUCUAUUUUUCUCUUCGCGAGAAAAAUUUUAAAGACCGAUCGGCGACGCUAUAGCUUUGGGUACUUUCAGGACCCGUCUUGAAACACGGACCAAGGAGUCUAGCAUGUGCGCGAGUCAUUGGGAUUUUUAGCUAAACCUAAAGGCGUAAUGAAAGUGAAGGUCUUCCUCGCGAAGACCGAGGGAAGACGGACGGUUGCGAAUUCAUUUUCCGAUCGUUCUGCAUUCCCGGGGCGUCUCGUUCGCAUCGCGCGAAGAGGCGCACCAAGAGCGUACACGCUGGGACCCGAAAGAUGGUGAACUAUGCCUGGUCAGGACGAAGUCAGGGGAAACCCUGAUGGAGG
rnacentral:rRNA from 1 species